UUGCAAGGUGGAUUUCACUUAUUAUUGUUAUUUUUAUUCUGUUGAAACAACAACUUUUGUUUUUGUUUUUUUUUCUUUUUGCUUUUAUUUGGCAUAACUUCACUGAACAACAUAAUUAUUUACAUUUUCUCAAACAUAAAUAGGUGAUGGAACUUAAAAGACAUUGGGUAAUACUCCAAAUCGGAGUGGGUCAAGAUGAUAAGUUGACAAAGAAAAGGUUUUUGUUCUUUUUUUUUUUUUUUUUUAAAGGCUCAAAAGGGGUAACUAUGGAUAUUUAAUAAAAGGGAUGGCUAGAAAGGCUCAAACGGAUCAAAGAUGGCCUUUCCAUCGUCUUUUAGGGCUCUAAAUAAUUAUCCAUAUCUACUAGUUAGAUGGGCCUCCCAAUGUAGCAACACACAUUUUUUUUUCUUUUUUUUUUUUUAAUUUUACCAUAUUUUUUUUUUAAAGGAUUAACUUAAAAGAAAUCUAGAGAUCGUGUAUAAAAUAAUAAACUGCUAAGCUGUAUAGAGAAUGGGCAAAAGGGUUACUCUCCAAGAAAAUGAUAGGCUCAACAACUCACUUGGCACUUAUUUAUGACAUGUUCAUUCCUUCAAGCAACUCAUAUUUGUCUCCGACAUCAACAUGUAAAGUAGCAAACAUAGCGUAACAUCACUUAAGACCAAAGAUAAUACAAAUAAUAAAAUUUGA
rnacentral:lncRNA from 1 species